UGGGUGGUACCCUUUUACGAGGAAUCCUUCGAUCAGCCAUGCUUUCUCCCGAACUUUCUGCAGAUUCAGAAUCAGGUCGCCGUUGUUCCAACGUCUUGUAAAAGCAACUUCCGUCCACACCAAUGAACUCUACUGCCGUGAAUGAUUCCUCCCCUUCAUUUACGUUGUCCCAAUAUGUUAUAAAAUUAAUCACUGGCCUUACACCAGUCAUUCUCAAAUCAUUUAACAUUUUAAUUAUGUUUUUAGAUUUUCCUUUGUUUUUAUUACCAGUUAUGAAAUCCAUCUUUUUGAGAGAACACUUGUUUGUGGUUGCUUAGUAGACUAGGCACGUCCGGUAAAUUUUUAAUUACGUAUUAAUGACUACUGAAUUAAUUAUUUUUCUAUUCUUUAUUUUUAGAUGCUUCCCGAACUUGCCGUUUAUAGAUUUUUUUGGAUUAAAAAAAAAAAAAAAAAAAAAAAAAAGUUCUAAAUCAUGUGGGGAAAAAGGCGCCUUAUUAGAGGCUCUCUUCCGGUUCGUAUGUCGUGAGAAUCUACAGUCCAACAAUGGGACUUGCAAGAAAGAUUUUAACGCUCUGUGAGCAUAAGGGCGUAAAAGGAAACCGAAAAAUAACUAAAUGGCUUCAAAAAAACAGGCUAAUGGCUUCAACGAAGAAAUGCAGAAUAUGUAAAAAUAAAAUGAAAUUAAGGAAGAGGCAAAAUAAAGAUGGAUACCAAUGGUAAAUAUACACACCCUUAUGACACUUUUUUUUUUUGUCAGAUUGGAAGCCUGAUUCAAAUCAAAAUUAUAUUGUGUUACUGUACUUAUUCUAUGUGUUACUUUUAUUUAUUUAUUUAAUUGUAUUUUUUGUUACUGUGGUAUCAGGAUAUGUCAACAAAGAGCACACAAUGAAAAAGUGACAAAAUCAUGCAGGUCAGGAUCAAUAUUCGACAAGACCAAGACAAGUUUACAAAAUUGGAUGACUUUUAUAUACAGAUUCAGUCAAGGUUUACGUUUACGCCAAGUCGACAUGGUCCAGGAUGGCAUUGCUGGAAGCUCCGCCACCCUUACUAAAAUGACCCGUAAACUGAGAUUAGUCUGCAGGAAAGCCUUGAAGAUGUUCAAAAGGAAGACAGGACAACGCAUGGGUGGAAGAAGGGAAUUUAUUGUGAUAGAUGAAAGCAACAUCCGCCAUAAAAGGAAGGUGGGACAUCCUUUUUGUAACUAUUUUUUUUAAAAGUGAAAACAUGUAAGGUGGAACAACUGAAAUACAAUAUCUAUAUCAAAUUUCAAUAGUGAUAUUUGAUGCAUCAAUGAAUCAUUUCUUUAAAUUGGUUAUUUUUAUUGAACCAGAUGAACCCGUUCUGAACUAAACUGUAUCAUCAACUGUAUAAUCUGAAACAGUUUGCAUCUCAUGUCAGCACUGAUCCAAAAAUUAUUCCACCAAAACUCACUUUUUGCAACGAGUCUGACAGUCACUCCAACUCACAAUUUAUCAGUUGUCUCAUAGGUUGUGAUUCCAUGUCCUUUAAUGUAACACUGCUACUUGAUCCCUUCUAGCAGGACUUCAGUUACUCCAACAGUUAAUACUUAAUAUCAGAAUACAUUUAGGCUGUGUUUUAUUUUUAAGUUACAUAGUAUAUUUGUACCAAUAGCCAAAAAUACAUUGUAUUCAUCAAAAUUAUUGAUUUCUCUUUUAUGCCAAAAAUCAUUAGGAUAUUAAGUAAAGAUCAUGUCCCAUGAAGAUAUUUUGUAAAUUUCCUACUGUACAUAUAUAAAACAUAAUUGAUUAGCAAUAUGGAUUGCUAAGAACUUCAUUUGGACAACUUUGAAGGCGAUUUUCUCAAUAUUUAGAUUUUUUGCACCCUCAGAUUCCAGAUUUUCAAAUAGCUGUAUCUCAGACAAAUAUUGUCAUAUCCUCCUAACAAACCAUACAUCAAUAAAAGCUUAUUUAUUCAGAUGGUUUAUAAAUCU
ensembl:lncRNA